UGGAAGAAAAUACAAGAAAACAGAGAAAGCACAUUAGAGCCUGGGGCUUGAAGGACUCUCUGAUCCCGUGUGCUGUCAGGCUGCAGUCCAUCCUGCAUCCCUUUGGCCCAAUUUGAGAUUGUUUUCGUUGAUUUUUCUUUGCGUAAAGUCUUAUAGAGGCCGGCGAGAAGUUUCAGGCCUCACACAAAGUAACAAGAUCGCCCAAACAAUUUAAGUGUUUGUCUUCCCUGGAACCCGGGGCUCAUGCCACCCUUCCCACUACUUCUCCAAAGAUGCAUGUGGGCGGUGCCUGGCCUUUCAGCCACAGGCGGCUGGGAAUCUCUUCCACCCCCUCAGCACCAGCUAGGCUCACUGGACGAUGAAGCCUCUGGCUAGAACUGCUCAUGUGCAGACUGUCAGGAAAGAGAGAGAGGACCCCACAAUGGAAACUGCUGCAGUGGGUACCAAGCCUUCAGGAGCGCAGAUGCCUGGAACUUACCAACCUGCCUGGGUGUCCUGAGGGCUGAGUUCAGAUGUGUGUCACCACCCUCAGCUCUCACAGAUACCUGCAGUGAUCUUUUUACCAUGUGAACGCAUGCUCUGAGAGUUGUACCAGUACUGAGAACAAAGGACAGGGCAGGGAGCUCAACGGCCUACAGCAGCUCUGUCUGUGACAGGGAGAGCUGUUCCCAGCAGACACCAAAGAGAGAGAACUUUGGGAGCGCAGCAAGCAAGCCCCAUUCCCAGCCAGGCAUUCUGCAAAUGCUCCGUCCAGCAGCGCCACCUGCCGGCCACAUCCAAGCGCAUUCCCUUCCUCCCUUACCAGCUUCUAUUAAAAAAUGUCUUAGUGUGGAUCUGAGUUCAAGGCCAACCUAAUCUACAGAAGCGGGGACAUCAGACCCAGGUCACCCUCCAGCAGACUUCUGAGGCAAUGAAUGAACGAAGGGGAUUGGACUGCUUUGGCCUGGGCUCUGUCAUCUCUGACAGGGAGCCCUGAGUAGUCAUUACAAUAUCCGGAUGGCCCAUCUCCUUUCUCCUGGACACCAGGACCACUAACUUGAUCUUGUCAAAGUUUUGGGGACCUACCUCUCCUCAUUUUCCUAUUGUCAGGGUAUGGGCACAACCUUACCUGGUGCUCAAGAGCCUGAGAACCAGAUGGCCUGAGCCUUCCUGCAGACCCAGGGACCCACGAGACAGCUCUGGCUGACCCCAAGACCUCAGACUGUGCUCCCCCACCCCUGGAGCAGUGUCCCGCGGCUUCCUCAUAGCCCGAUACUUGCCAGGCACCUGCAUGAGGGCCCAAGCUUCUGAGACAGAAGGAGGGAUCUGAGCCACAUCCACUGGUGUCCUGUGAAGAAAAUGCCCGGUUGAGUACAGUGUGGCUAUCAUUUGGUCACCCUGUCACUCAUUUCCCCCCCCACCCCCCGACUGUACAGCUCAGAAAGAAAACACCAGGUGACCUCCUUUAAGAGUAAAACUCUCAUCUUCCUUAUCUCUGUCUCUGUCUAUUUAUAAGGGAAUCUAGUGGCUUAGCCUUGGCAGUCAGUCUCAGGAAUGAGGAAAUGGCCAAAUAAGGGAGACAAAAGUAGGGAGGAAGGACAGGGGACAUGGUGGUGCCAUGUUCUCCAUGUUUGAGCCUGUCAGAGCUCUCCUCCCUCUCUCUCAUGAGCGCACACAUCUCUCACACAGCACACUUGGACCUGGACAGGGGAAGCACACUUCAAAUAUUGACACCACAAAAUAAUGGCAACCAGGCUAGAGAAUGGAGGGACCUUUUUAUCCCAUUUCGUCUCCACUCAGAAUCUAGUGGAGAAAAAAAAUGAACCAUUUGCUCCAGCAGCAGACCCUAAAGUCCAGGAACAGGACAAUAAAAUUACCCACUAGAGGAACAGCUUAAAGAUAGUCACAUGACUAGGAGACAUCUUAUCUCAGGAUAGGCCAUCUGCUGGGCAGCCCAUUCUGCGGUUAAUCAUUCAGGAUGCAGAAAUGCAACCCACGAGAGGCAUCCCAGCACCUUUUAAUACAGUCUUAGAUUACCUAAGUCUAACAAUAAAAUAAUAAACCGUCUACCCAUUGUAAGUGUAGGGUACUUUGCUUCUGUAGUUGAUCUGCCUGUCUGAGUUGUUCCUGGGGCUAGAAGCUGCAGUCUCUGG